GCAGGAAAUUGCACUCUUUCUCUUCCUCCUGCUCUCUGCUCUGGAGCCACCAUGUGACCCUGGGAAGAAAACACCAGCAGAAGGCAUCCUCAAUAAGAUAAGUCUUAUACAAUAUAUAGAUUUAUGAUAAUUAAGACUGAGAUAGCAUAUAAAAAAUCCUAGUCAAUUGGCCAGCAGCAUUGUAAGACUCUGUGUGUUAUUCUGGGCACCCAUGUGGCGGUGGGGCUCCGGUGGAUGGAGUAAAGACUUAUCAUUACAUAUGCCCUCAUCCUGUGAGCCAUCCUUCCAGUAUCUCCAGCCUUCUUGAUUGUGUUUAAAACAGAGUUGCUCAUUUUUGCACUGAUACUUUUUAAGGUUCACAAUUAAACCAGAUCAAUUGUUUCUACCUCAUAAUUUCACCUAUUUUCUGCCUUUACCAACAGAAAACCCAAUGUCAAGGCACACUUAUGAAUAUAUUAAAGGUUCAGCUGCAGAAGGGGUCUAUCCUGACCUUCCUCACGUAGAGGUGGCUUCAGUCCUUUGUCACAAAGAUGUUGAUUGACCUAUCCUUCUGUUCUUG
rnacentral:lncRNA from 1 species